rnacentral:misc_RNA from 1 species
UUAACUAUUAUAUAGUACUCAGACGACAUUUAAUUAAGAGUUUUGGGUCCUCUGACGGGCACGGGCCAGCCGAAGCCGGCGGUCCCGAGGGACGGGCCCGUCAAAGCAACAAAGGUAAUGUAAACAAAGGGUGGGAGAUCUACCCCGAAGGGCAUAUUCUCAUUAAUGAUCCUUCCGCAGGUUCACCUACGGAAA